rnacentral:rRNA from 1 species
UACAGAGGGUGCGAGCGUUGUUCGGAAUUAUUGGGCGUAAAGGGCGCGUAGGCGGUGCGGUAAGUCACCUGUGAAAUCUCCUGGCUCAACUGGAGCUUGCAGGCGAAACUGCCGUGCUGGAGUGUGGGAGAGGUGCGUGGAAUUCCCGUGUAGCGGUGAAAUGCGUAGAUAGUCGGGAGGAACACCAGUGGCGAAGGCGGUUGCC